UAGAUAAACAAUCUUCAAAUUGAGAUUGAUGAAGAAAAUGAAAAGAAGACAAACCUUUAUGCGAUGAAAAAUCUCCCUAAACCUCCUUGUUCAGUUGCAAAAUUAGACCAACAAAUUGUAAGUAUCCAUAUGCAAGGCUAAUUUUAUGCGAGCAAUAGAACCUUUUUAUAAAUACUGCAGUAAGUCGAAACAAGUGACUAGAUGACAUGGAGAGCAGUGGAAUUUGCAAAACAUUGGAAUAUUCCCAAUCAUAUACAACCUGCAACGCUUAUUUGGUGCAUAUUAUUUGAAAGAAGUCGACUGGACUAAUUCGAAAAAGGGUUGUCAUUCUUGCUACUCCUUCUUUACCAAAGCUAUGGCGAUUAUUUUUCGACCAUGAAAGCAUGGUAGUCUAAAGAGUAAGCUAUAUAUUGCAUAACUUUUAAGGCAACAAAGAUUAAGGAACUAAGAUUUCUAGCAAGAAUAAAAGAUGGCAACAUAAAUUCCCCACUCCGAAUAUUUCCGCCACUGUCCCAAAUUAAUUCCAAUCAAGGUAAUCUCAUGAUUCAUUCUUAUUUGAAUUUUUACUGCUUAUUUCUCUAGACCAAAUCUGAGCAGAGGAGUGAGUCGUUGAAAUAUCUAAUGCUCCAGUAUUGUUCCGGAUUAGGAAGCUGUGAUUUGGAUACAUAAAAAGACGCCUUGUUGUAAAAUUGCAUAUUGUUAUUUUCUAUAAUGAAAAUCAUUUACAAGAAAUUACGUAGGCCUAUUCAUCACAAAUGUAUUAAUUUCAAAUCAUUGCAUUGUACUUGUAAGAAGUAAAUAUCGCAUUAUUAAUGUAAAAAUAUAUUAUACAGUGUAGCAAAUCAAGCGACAUCAAUGACGCCAGUGGUGAGCUACCUAUGGUAACUGGUCAUGCUAUGCUAUAAUCCUGCAUCUACAUAGGUUAAAGAAUAAUGCAAAUCAUUAAAAAUUUACAUAGCAUCACCUGUGGCCAUGGCUUGCUUCGCAUGACGCAAGUUAUUAUUGGCAUAUUAUUAUUUUGUUUUGAAAUUGAACAAUUGAAUCUUUCCACAAAGCGGACAAGCCUAAUUGUACAUUAUAGUGUAUGCAAAAUUGCAACUACCAUUCCUUCCGUAAGGAAAAGUUAUGAAACACUGAAAAUUGAUCGAGAUAAUCAUUGUCGUUAAGUUAUUCGAAAAGGGGGGAAACCUGACACUCUCGUACCGAUUAUUCUGCGUGAUUAUUCCAUUUUAUGAACAAAUUUAAAGACUUAAUGAAAACGUAAUGUGAUUUAAAUAACUUCAACGGAAGAUCUUUCUCGAUGUAAACACUUAUAUUAAUGUCGUUUUUUUACGACAACCGUGAAAUCUUUAGGGUGAUGAAGUUGCAUACCUAUGGGUGAAGUAGAUGGUUUCUCCGCUCCCUCAGGAAGCUCAAUCUUGUAGAGAUGUAGUAACGUUGACGCGAAUGUGAACAUCACGAUCUUUGCAAAAAGCUGACCGAGACAUUCUCUACGACCAAGUCCAAAGGGCAUGAAAGCAUGUUUCGUUGUCCAACCCACAAACUUUCCAUCACUGUCAAGAAAUCGUUCAGGCUUGAAUUCAUUAGGUUCGGGCCAUUCUUUUGGUUCAUGAUGGAUUUCUCCAAUAUUUAUGAGGACGUUUGUAUUCUUUGGAAUACGAUAACCACCGAUAGUUAAUUGUAUCACGAAUAGCAUUUGUCGCUGUGAGUGAAAAAGGUCCGCACAUCCGUAGUACUUCGCAUAAAGUAGCCUGUAAAUAAGGCAUGUUCUGAGCAUCUUGCCAGCAUGGGAGGCGAUCAUUUUCUACCACGUCAUCAAGCUCCUUGUGAAGUUUUGCUUGAAUAUCUUGAUGUAAGACAUUAUAAAGAAUAAACCAACAAAUUGUAGUUGAGACUGUAUCUACUCCUGCUACAACAACAUCUAACAUUAAGUCGGGUAUAUCUUCUAUCGACCCGAUGGCCUUGCUUGUCCCUUUUGUAAUCUCGUUCUCGUAGGCACCGAUGAAGCUGUCUGUCAAAUCCCGUAUGACCCCUGGACUGUACGUCUCACGGUGAGCAGAGAAUUCGUGUGCAAAUAGCUGUUUCUUGAUAUCUUUUGCCCUCUCUAUCUCACGGUUGAAGUUGUUAGCUACGUAUCCAAGGAAUGGUAUCAAUAGAUAUAUGGAUUUUUCUCUAGGCUGAUUCAUUGCUAUCCCUCCUAUUUCCUUAAAUAAACUUAUUUUCCGAUCAUCGAGAGUUAUCUUCUUAGAUGUUAACCAUUCCCAAACUUGCGCAAAUAUUGUUGAUUGGACAAGUUUGUUUGGCGAGAACGACUGACAUUUUUCAAUUUCUUGCAGUGCGAGUUGAACGGAAUGUCUUGCACGAUCUUCAACUUGCCCAAGACCGGAUCCAAAUACAUGAAGUGAUGAUUUCAACACUCUCCUGCGAAAUAAAUACCCGGCCGAGUAAUCUGCAAAGACAACGUCCUUCCCAAAUAUAAGUUCCAAUGGAUAAAUUAAUUCGGAUGACCUGCCAGCAAUGCCGUCUUUUGUGCCAAGUCUUGCAUUUCUUGCGAGUGAUGCGGUAUUUAGUACAACACCCGUUCCAUUGGGCAUGAAUACAGUGAAGAUUUCUCCAUAUUCUUUGGACAAUUUCCUGAAAGGAAAUGCUUGGUCGGAUAUUACGUGAGGUAUAUUGCCAAUCCAUGGGAAGGGAAAGGGUCCGGGGGGCAUUCCUUGCUUCUUUAUACAGGUAUUACUGAUGUACCAAAUAGUCCAAAUAAGAAAUAGCGACACUGCGACUUCUACGAUCAUGAUACUCGAUCAGUGUUGUCAUUAAUCUAAGAAGAGAAGGUUUGUGAAGGAGUGGUAUAUCUCUAUCAGUCAUUAAGUCAUUAAGUAUGUGUCCUGGCGGCCGGAGGCUUUUUUUUGGGGGGGGGCGGGUGGACGGGGGUCAUGAAUCUGGUAUUAUUUCUAUGCAUUGGCCAGAAUAAAAUGUUAUAAAAGUGUACACUUUCCCAAUACAGAAGUAAUUAACAAUUAUUCGCCGAAGGCGAGGUGAUUAUCGGGGAACAAAUAAUAUUAUUAAUAUUAUUAUUGGUUAAAAAAUAGCAAUAAUAAUAUUAAUAAUAAUAAUAAAAUAAUGAUAUAAAAUAAUAAUAAUAAUAAAUAAUAUUAAUAAUAACGA
rnacentral:lncRNA from 1 species